GUAUUGCAAGUCCAAAACUAAAAUCAAAAAGGUUGAAAAUUAUAACCUUUUUGGUAUUCGAUUGGACAAUAUCAAAUUCCAUGAUUUGCUAUUCCUCUUAAGGAUAUCGGCUAAAAGAUAAACUCCUUAAUAAUGUUUAAAAUCAACAUUUGCAUCUU
rnacentral:snoRNA from 1 species